rnacentral:rRNA from 1 species
UACGUAGGGUGCAAGCGUUAAUCGGAAUUACUGGGCGUAAAGCGUGCGCAGGCGGUGAUGUAAGACAGGUGUGAAAUCCCCGGGCUUAACCUGGGAACUGCAUUUGUGACUGCAUCGCUGGAGUGCGGCAGAGGGGGAUGGAAUUCCGCGUGUAGCAGUGAAAUGCGUAGAUAUGUGGAGGAACACCAAUGGCGAAGGCAGCCCCCUGGGUCAACACUGACGCUCAUGCACGAAAGCGUGGGGAGCAAACAGG